rnacentral:misc_RNA from 1 species
UCUCCGUAGGUGAACCUGCGGAGGGAUCAUUACCGAGCGAGGGGGCUUCAAGCCCUCGACCUCCCAACCCUUUGUCGAAUCAAAACUGUUGCCUCGGGGGGCGACCCGGCUCCAAGCGUCGGACACCCGUCGGACGCCGUCGGACGCCCCCCAGAGGGUCAAUUAAAUCUGCAUCUUUGCGUCGGAGUAUUGAAAGCAAAUCAAUCAAAACUUUCAACAACGGAUCUCUUGGUUCUGGCAUCGAUGAAGAACGCAGC